CCAAUAGCGUAUAUUAAAGUUGUUGCAGUUAAAAAGCUCGUAGUUGAAUUUCGGGAUCAAUUAAUUGGUCGUGCCUAUGGUACGUACUGAUUUUAUUGGUUUCUCCCUUCUGACGAACCAUGAUGUCAUUAAUUUGGUGUCGUGGAGAAUCAGGAUUGUUACUUUGAAAAAAUUAGAGUGUUUAAAGCAAGCUAACGCUU
rnacentral:rRNA from 1 species